rnacentral:rRNA from 1 species
GUACACAAAAAUGCACAUGCUGUGAGCUCGAUGAGUAGGGCGGGACACGUGGUAUCCUGUCUGAAUAUGGGGGGACCAUCCUCCAAGGCUAAAUACUCCUGACUGACCGAUAGUGAACCAGUACCGUGAGGGAAAGGCGAAAAGAACCCCGGCGAGGGGAGUGAAAAAGAACCUGAAACCGUGUACGUACAAGCAGUGGGAGCACGCUUAGGCGUGUGACUGCGUACCUUUUGUAUAAUGGGUCAGCGACUUAUAUUCUGUAGCAAGGUUAACCGAAUAGGGGAGCCGAAGGGAAACCGAGUCUUAACUGGGCGUUAAGUUGCAGGGUAUAGACCCGAAACCCGGUGAUCUAGCCAUGGGCAGGUUGAAGGUUGGGUAACACUAACUGGAGGACCGAACCGACUAAUGUUGAAAAAUUAGCGGAUGACUUGUGGCUGGGGGUGAAAGGCCAAUCAAACCGGGAGAUAGCUGGUUCUCCCCGAAAGCUAUUUAGGUAGCGCCUCGUGAAUUCAUCUCCGGGGGUAGAGCACUGUUUCGGCAAGGGGGUCAUCCCGACUUACCAACCCGAUGCAAACUGCGAAUACCGGAGAAUGUUAUCACGGGAGACACACGGCGGGUGCUAACGUCCGUCGUGAAGAGGGAAACAACCCAGACCGCCAGCUAAGGUCCCAAAGUCAUGGUUAAGUGGGAAACGAUGUGGGAAGGCCCAGACAGCCAGGAUGUUGGCUUAGAAGCAGCCAUCAUUUAAAGAAAGCGUAAUAGCUCACUGGUCGAGUCGGCCUGCGCGGAAGAUGUAACGGGGCUAAACCAUGCACCGAAGCUGCGGCAGCGACGCUGAUGCGUUGUUGGGUAGGGGAGCGUUCUGUAAGCCUGCGAAGGUGUGCUGUGAGGCAUGCUGGAGGUAUCAGAAGUGCGAAUGCUGACAUAAGUAACGAUAAAGCGGGUGAAAAGCCCGCUCGCCGGAAGACCAAGGGUUCCUGUCCAACGUUAAUCGGGGCAGGGUGAGUCGACCCCUAAGGCGAGGCCGAAAGGCGUAGUCGAUGGGAAACAGGUUAAUAUUCCUGUACUUGGUGUUACUGCGAAGGGGGGACGGAGAAGGCUAUGUUGGCCGGGCGACGGUUGUCCCGGUUUAAGCGUGUAGGCUGGUUUUCCAGGCAAAUCCGGAAAAUCAAGGCUGAGGCGUGAUGACGAGGCACUACGGUGCUGAAGCAACAAAUGCCCUGCUUCCAGGAAAAGCCUCUAAGCAUCAGGUAACAUCAAAUCGUACCCCAAACCGACACAGGUGGUCAGGUAGAGAAUACCAAGGCGCUUGAGAGAACUCGGGUGAAGGAACUAGGCAAAAUGGUGCCGUAACUUCGGGAGAAGGCACGCUGAUAUGUAGGUGAAGCGACUUGCUCGUGGAGCUGAAAUCAGUCGAAGAUACCAGCUGGCUGCAACUGUUUAUUAAAAACACAGCACUGUGCAAACACGAAAGUGGACGUAUACGGUGUGACGCCUGCCCGGUGCCGGAAGGUUAAUUGAUGGGGUCAGCGCAAGCGAAGCUCUUGAUCGAAGCCCCGGUAAACGGCGGCCGUAACUAUAACGGUCCUAAGGUAGCGAAAUUCCUUGUCGGGUAAGUUCCGACCUGCACGAAUGGCGUAAUGAUGGCCAGGCUGUCUCCACCCGAGACUCAGUGAAAUUGAACUCGCUGUGAAGAUGCAGUGUACCCGCGGCAAGACGGAAAGACCCCGUGAACCUUUACUAUAGCUUGACACUGAACAUUGAGCCUUGAUGUGUAGGAUAGGUGGGAGGCUUUGAAGUGUGGACGCCAGUCUGCAUGGAGCCGACCUUGAAAUACCACCCUUUAAUGUUUGAUGUUCUAACGUUGACCCGUGAUCCGGGUUGCGGACAGUGUCUGGUGGGUAGUUUGACUGGGGCGGUCUCCUCCUAAAGAGUAACGGAGGAGCACGAAGGUUGGCUAAUCCUGGUCGGACAUCAGGAGGUUAGUGCAAUGGCAUAAGCCAGCUUGACUGCGAGCGUGACGGCGCGAGCAGGUGCGAAAGCAGGUCAUAGUGAUCCGGUGGUUCUGAAUGGAAGGGCCAUCGCUCAACGGAUAAAAGGUACUCCGGGGAUAACAGGCUGAUACCGCCCAAGAGUUCAUAUCGACGGCGGUGUUUGGCACCUCGAUGUCGGCUCAUCACAUCCUGGGGCUGAAGUAGGUCCCAAGGGUAUGGCUGUUCGCCAUUUAAAGUGGUACGCGAGCUGGGUUUAGAACGUCGUGAGACA